UACGUAGGGUGCAAGCGUUGUCCGGAAUUAUUGGGCGUAAAGGGCUCGUAGGCGGUCUGUCACGUCGGGAGUGAAAACUCAGGGCUUAACCCUGAGCCUGCUUCCGAUACGGGCAGACUAGAGGUAUGCAGGGGAGAACGGAAUUCCUGGUGUAGCGGUGAAAUGCGCAGAUAUCAGGAGGAACACCGGUGGCGAAGGCGGGUCUCUGGGCCGAAACUGACGCUGAGGAGCGAAAGCGUGGGGAGCAAACAGG
rnacentral:rRNA from 1 species